rnacentral:rRNA from 1 species
UACGUAGGGGGCAAGCGUUGUCCGGAUUUAUUGGGCGUAAAGAGCGUGUAGGCGGCCUGAAAGGUCAGCUGUGAAAACUCGAGGCUCAACCUCGAGACGUCGGUUGAAACCAUCUGGCUAGAGUCCGGAAGAGGAGAGUGGAAUUCCCGGUGUAGCGGUGAAAUGCGCAGAUAUCGGGAAGAACACCCGUGGCGAAGGCGGCUCUCUGGGCCUUACCUGACGCUGAGGAGCGAAAGCGUGGGGAGCGAACGAGG